ensembl:lncRNA
CAUAAAGUGAGAUGAAUGGUCAAACUGCAGACAUACUGUAUGCCUCAGGAGCCAAAAGCUGCUCCCCGGACUGGCAGCUCCAGAAGCCAUCAGCACCGGAUCCUUUAAGCAAUUACCAGCUCGGAAAUGUCCUUCCAUUGAUUGUGAUGGACGUAAACCAGCUGUGUUUCAAUAGCAAGCGAACAGAGGGAGGAAGAGCCAGACGGCAGGACACAAACAGUGCCGAGCACUGGGACCAGCUGCAGCCUGCAGACGUUCUUCAAAGGGACACCGGGCUUCCUGCCUGCACAAAGUGGCACUUCGAAGAGAAGGAGCUGUCAACGCCGAAAUGCUGUGCUUGGUUUGCACCACUCCAGGGUUUAAAACAGAACAAAGAAAAACUUUUCAAAUACACAGAACAGUG